UGAAAAGCUCUCCUACAUCGUUGAUGUCAGCUGUGCCUGAGGCUUUUUAAUGGGUCAACAGACCCCAAAGCUGCGUGACUGUACCAUCACAGAAGAUGGAGAGUUGCAUGCAUCCAGUGCAGGUGUUUGACCAAGCAGGGAAAUUAAAAGACCAAAAGGCAAGGGAGAUCGAGAGGCUGAUACAAGCAGUGAUUGAAAUAUGAACCAUGGACUCUACCAUAGAUAGAAAAGUUGGAACUGAUAGAUGGAGAAAAAGGAAUGCUACCAAGCAAGAGAAAGUCCUAAUGAGUUAAAAGGCACGGCUGGAGUGGGAGAUCUAUAAACUGACAGUAUAAAAGAUCAUGGUCAAAGAGUGGGAUGUUAGAACUGAUGGCUUUUUAUGGAACAAUAUCAUGUGAGGACAAAGUCUACAGUGUGGCCCAGGAGUGGGUGGCUGAGGCAGAAUGGAGAAAUGGUCACUGGAGAUGAGCAGAUCAAAGAAGUGAGAGACUGGAUUGUUGGACAGAAAAUCCACAAAAACCCUGACCUUACCUAUUGUGAUGGCAAGAACCCAGAUGAAGAGAAAGCUGCAAACCAGGAACUUAAAAUACUUAAAGAACCAGUUUCAGUUGAGGCAAGAGGAUGAAGGUUGGAUUCAGCUUGACUUCCCCUUUUGGGGAAUAACAAUGUCAUAGACACAAGAUGCAGAUACAGUGACCCAGAGAUGCUAGUUUGCUGGACCAAGGUGAUAGAACAACUUCACGAUGAAACUACUCUAUCCCUCCGUUAAGUGCU
rnacentral:lncRNA from 10 species